ensembl:snRNA U6 U6 spliceosomal RNA
GUGCUCACUUUGGCAGCACGUACAAUAAAGUCGGAAUGAUACGGUGAAGAUUGGCAUGGCCCCCAUGCAAAGGUGACAUGCAAGUUUGUGAAGCAUUCCAUUUUUUU